GAAUGCGUUCCCGGGUCUUUUACACACCGCCAGUCAAACCACGGGAGUGGGAGACGCCCGAAGCCGAUUAUCUAACCUGUUGGAAGAAGUCGUCGAAGGGGGAAUCAAUAACUGGGGUGAAGUCGUAACAAGGUAGCCGUAUCGGAAGGUGCGGCUGGAUCACCUCCUUUCUAAGGAGA
rnacentral:rRNA from 1 species